AGAGUUUGAUCAUGGCUCAGGAUGAACGCUGGCGGUCUGCUUAACACAUGCAAGUCGAACGGAACUCUUCGGAGUUCAGUGGCGGACGGGUGAGUAACGCGUGAGAAUCUGCCUUUUGGUCGGGGACAACCACUGGAAACGGUGGCUAAUACCGGAUAAGCCUGCGGGUAAAAGAUUAAUUGCCAAGAGAGGAGCUCGCGUCUGAUUAGCUAGUUGGUGAGGUAAAGGCUCACCAAGGCGGCGAUCAGUAGCUGGUCUGAGAGGAUGAUCAGCCACACUGGGACUGAGACACGGCCCAGACUCCUACGGGAGGCAGCAGUGGGGAAUUUUCCGCAAUGGGCGAAAGCCUGACGGAGCAAGACCGCGUGAGGGAGGAAGGCUCUUGGGUUGUAAACCUCUUUUGUCAGGGAAGAACACAAUGACGGUACCUGAAGAAUCAGCAUCGGCUAACUCCGUGCCAGCAGCCGCGGUAAUACGGAGGAUGCAAGCGUUAUCCGGAAUUAUUGGGCGUAAAGCGUCCGCAGGUGGCACUUCAAGUCUGCUGUCAAAGACCGGGGCUUAACCCUGGAAAGGCAGUGGAAACUGAAGCGCUAGAGUGUGGCAGGGGUAGAGGGAAUUCCCGGUGUAGCGGUGAAAUGCGUAGAGAUCGGGAAGAACAUCGGUGGCGAAAGCGCUCUACUGGGCCACAACUGACACUCAGGGACGAAAGCUAGGGGAGCGAAUGGGAUUAGAUACCCUCGUAGUCC
rnacentral:rRNA from 1 species